rnacentral:rRNA from 1 species
GAUGAACGCUCGCGGCAGGCCUAACACAUGCAAGUCGAGGGAGAGGUUACCUUCGGGUAACCAAAACCGGCGCACGGGUGCGUAACGCGUAUACAAUCUGCCUUUCACAUAGGGAUAGCCCGAAGAAAUUUGGAUUAAUACCUAAUGGUAUAUAAGAGCGGCAUCGUUUUUAUAUUAAAGCUACGGUGGUGAAAGAUGAGUAUGCGUUCUAUUAGCUAGUUGGAGAGGUAACGGCUCCCCAAGGCGACGAUAGAUAGGGGUUCUGAGAGGGAUGUCCCCCACACUGGUACUGAGAUACGGACCAGACUCCUACGGGAGGCAGCAGUGAGGAAUAUUGGACAAUGGUCGGAAGACUGAUCCAGCCAUGCCGCGUGCAGGAUGAAGGUCCUAUGGAUUGUAAACUGCUUUUGUAAGGGGAGAAUAAGGAGUACGUGUACUUUGAUGACGGUACCUUACGAAUAAGCAUCGGCUAACUCCGUG